rnacentral:rRNA from 1 species
UACGAAGGGGGCUAGCGUUGCUCGGAUUGACUGGGCGUAAAGGGCGCGUAGGCGGUUUGCAUAGUCAGACGUGAAAUUCCUGGGCUUAACCUGGGGGCUGCGUUUGAUACAUGCAGGCUUGAGUUCGGAAGAGGGUCGUGGAAUUCCCAGUGUAGAGGUGAAAUUCGUAGAUAUUGGGAAGAACACCGGUGGCGAAGGCGGCGACCUGGUCCGAUACUGACGCGAGGCGCGAAAGCGUGGGGAGCAAAACAGGAUU